rnacentral:rRNA from 1 species
GACAGAGGGUGCAAACGUUGUUCGGAUUUACUGGGCGUAAAGGGCGCGUAGGCGGCCACCGCAAGUCAGUUGUGAAAUCUCUGGGCUUAACCCAGAAAGGUCAACUGAUACUGCGGGGCUAGAGUGCAGAAGGGGCAACUGGAAUUCUCGGUGUAGCGGUGAAAUGCGUAGAUAUCGAGAGGAACACCUGCGGCGAAGGCGGGUUGCUGGGCUGACACUGACGCUGAAGCGCGAAAGCUAGGGGAGCGAACGGG